UUGUUCAACGGCCGCGGUAUCCUAACCGUGCGAAGGUAGCGUAAUCACUUGUUCUUUAAAUGAGGACUAGUAUGAAAGGCAUCACGAGAGUCAUACUGUCUCCUUUCUCUAAUCAGUGAAACUAAUCUCCCCGUGAAGAAGCGGGGAUAAAAAUAUAAGACGAGAAGACCCUAUGGAGCUUUAAACAUACAAUAUAUGCCCUUUAACUUCAAAUUUCAGAAAAAUCUCUUAUCUUGGUAUAAUAAUUAAUAGUUUUUGGUUGGGGUGACCACGGAAUAAAAAACAACUUCCACAAUGAAAGAUUCUCCUUCACUAAGUUAAGGACUACAGCCCUAUACAUCAAUAAAUUGACAUAAUUGACCCAACAUAUUGAUCAAUGAACCAAGUUACCCUAGGGAUAACAGCGCAAUCCACUUUAAGAGCUCCUAUCGACAAGUGGGCUUACGACCUCGAUGUUGGAUCAGGGUAUCCCAGUGGUGCAGCCGCUACUAAAGGUUCGUUUG
rnacentral:rRNA from 1 species